rnacentral:rRNA from 1 species
GACGAACGCUGGCGGCGUGCCUAAUACAUGCAAGUCGAACGCUUCUUUCCUCCCGAGUGCUUGCACUCAAUUGGAAAGAGGAGUGGCGGACGGGUGAGUAACACGUGGGUAACCUACCCAUCAGAGGGGGAUAACACUUGGAAACAGGUGCUAAUACCGCAUAACAGUUUAUGCCGCAUGGCAUAAGAGUGAAAGGCGCUUUCGGGUGUCGCUGAUGGAUGGACCCGCGGUGCAUUAGCUGGUUGGUGAGGUAACGGCUCACCAAGGCCACGAUGCAUAGCCGACCUGAGAGGGUGAUCGGCCACACUGGGACUGAGACACGGCCCAGACUCCUACGGGAGGCAGCAGUAGGGAAUCUUCGGCAAUGGACGAAAGUCUGACCGAGCAACGCCGCGUGAGUGAAGAAGGUUUUCGGAUCGUAAAACUCUGUUGUUAGAGAAGAACAAGGACGUUAGUAACUGAACGUCCCCUGACGGUAUCUAACCAGAAAGCCACGGCUAACUACGUG